CGUACGGUUUCCUGACAGGGAAGAGUGCAAAACUCUAAAAUCCAGAUUUCAGUCCAUUGCUGGAUAUCCAAAUGUAAUCGGACUGAUUGAUGGAACUCAUGUUCGCAUUCAAAGGCCAAAGAACCACGAAGCCGAUUUCAUAAAUAGAAAAGGCUACCAUUCUUUGAACGUGCAAAUGGUAUGUGACCACAGCAAAAAAGUGAGGAGCUUAACAGCUAAAUGGCCAGGAAGCACACAUGAUGCGAGAAUAUGGAGAGAGUGUCAUCUACGGAACCAGUU